UACAGAGGUCUCGAGCGUUGUUCGGAUUUACUGGGCGUAAAGGGAGCGUAGGCGGUUCGGUGUGUUGAAUGUGAAAUCCCACAACUCAACUGUGGAAUGGCAUUCAAAACUACCGGGCUAGAGUACUGGAGAGGAGAGCGGAAUUCUUGGUGUAGCGGUGAAAUGCGUAGAUAUCAAGAGGAACACCGGUGGCGAAGGCGGCUCUCUGGACAGAUACUGACGCUGAGGCUCUAAAGUUAGGGGAGCAAACAGG
rnacentral:rRNA from 1 species